rnacentral:rRNA from 1 species
UACGUAGGUGGCAAGCGUUGUCCGGAUUUACUGGGCGUAAAGAGCGCGCAGGCGGUCGUUCAAGUCGCGUGUGAAAGCCCCCGGCUCAACUGGGGAGGGUCACGCGAUACUGAUCGACUCGAAGGCAGGAGAGGGUAGUGGAAUUCCCGGUGUAGUGGUGAAAUGCGUAGAUAUCGGGAGGAACACCAGUGGCGAAGGCGGCUCGCUGGACCGGUUCUGACGCUGAGGCGCGAAAGCGUGGGGAGCAAACAGG